CGCACAUUGCGCCCCUCGGCCAUUCCGGGGGGCAUGCCUGUUCGAGCGUCAUUUAUAGACCAUCAAGCACAGCUUGGCAUUGGGCUAUCGCCCCCGCAGUGGGCGGGCCCCAAAGACCUCGGCGGUGAAGCGUCGGCCUCAAGCGUAGUAGAAUCCUAUCCCGCUUACGGAGGCCCCGCGUCGCCCGCUACCAAAGCACCAAAUAACCUAAAGGUUGACCUCGGAUCAGGUAGGGAUACCCGCUGAACUUAA
rnacentral:misc_RNA from 1 species